UAAGCUUGAAUUCAUAAGAAAUAAUCGCUAGUGUUCGAAAGAACACUCACAAGAUUAAUAACGCGUUUAAAUCUUUUUAUAAAAGAANGAGUAACACGUGGAUAACCUACCUAUAAGACUGGGAUAACUUCGGGAAACCGGAGCUAAUACCGGAUAAUAUUUUGAACCGCAUGGUUCAAAAGUGAAAGACGGUCUUGCUGUCACUUAUAGAUGGAUCCGCGCUGCAUUAGCUAGUUGGUAAGGUAACGGCUUACCAAGGCAACGAUGCAUAGCCGACCUGAGAGGGUGAUCGGCCACACUGGAACUGAGACACGGUCCAGACUCCUACGGGAGGCAGCAGUAGGGAAUCUUCCGCAAUGGGCGAAAGCCUGACGGAGCAACGCCGCGUGAGUGAUGAAGGUCUUCGGAUCGUAAAACUCUGUUAUUAGGGAAGAACAUAUGUGUAAGUAACUGUGCACAUCUUGACGGUACCUAAUCAGAAAGCCACGGCUAACUACGUGCCAGCAGCCGCGGUAAUACGUAGGUGGCAAGCGUUAUCCGGAAUUAUUGGGCGUAAAGCGCGCGUAGGCGGUUUUUUAAGUCUGAUGUGAAAGCCCACGGCUCAACCGUGGAGGGUCAUUGGAAACUGGAAAACUUGAGUGCAGAAGAGGAAAGUGGAAUUCCAUGUGUAGCGGUGAAAUGCGCAGAGAUAUGGAGGAACACCAGUGGCGAAGGCGACUUUCUGGUCUGUAACUGACGCUGAUGUGCGAAAGCGUGGGGAUCAAACAGGAUUAGAUACCCUGGUAGUCCACGCCGUAAACGAUGAGUGCUAAGUGUUAGGGGGUUUCCGCCCCUUAGUGCUGCAGCUAACGCAUUAAGCACUCCGCCUGGGGAGUACGACCGCAAGGUUGAAACUCAAAGGAAUUGACGGGGACCCGCACAAGCGGUGGAGCAUGUGGUUUAAUUCGAAGCAACGCGAAGAACCUUACCAAAUCUUGACAUCCUUUGACAACUCUAGAGAUAGAGCCUUCCCCUUCGGGGGACAAAGUGACAGGUGGUGCAUGGUUGUCGUCAGCUCGUGUCGUGAGAUGUUGGGUUAAGUCCCGCAACGAGCGCAACCCUUAAGCUUAGUUGCCAUCAUUAAGUUGGGCACUCUAAGUUGACUGCCGGUGACAAACCGGAGGAAGGUGGGGAUGACGUCAAAUCAUCAUGCCCCUUAUGAUUUGGGCUACACACGUGCUACAAUGGACAAUACAAAGGGCAGCGAAACCGCGAGGUCAAGCAAAUCCCAUAAAGUUGUUCUCAGUUCGGAUUGUAGUCUGCAACUCGACUACAUGAAGCUGGAAUCGCUAGUAAUCGUAGAUCAGCAUGCUACGGUGAAUACGUUCCCGGGUCUUGUACACACCGCCCGUCACACCACGAGAGUUUGUAACACCCGAAGCCGGUGGAGUAACCUUUUAGGAGCUAGCCGUCGAAGGUGGGACAAAUGAUUGGGGUGAAGUCGUAACAAGGUAGCCGUAUCGGAAGGUGCGGCUGGAUCACCU
rnacentral:rRNA from 1 species